rnacentral:snRNA from 1 species
CGGUCCGUACGUACAAACCGGAU